GCCAUUGGUUAGUUUAUAUACCAUCAAAACACUACUUGUCCUCAUUUGGAGACUCCGCAAGUGAAGGAUCAUUCCCAGCAACACACACCCUCUUGUAGAUCUCUCUGCAUGGAACCAUAUGAUUAAGCUUCAAGUUGAAACAUGGCAUAUAAUAAGAAAACAGCCACUCUCUCACCAUAAUUCACUUCACCUUAACAAAAUCCAAACAUUAAAAACGAAAAACACCAUGCGAUCUUCUCAACCCCCAAACAUAAAAACCUGUGGUGAACCAUGUAAAUGAAACUAGAUACUCUCUCCUACUCAUUCAUACAAUUUUUAGACAAACACUUAAAUAUAACUUAAUGGUUCAGUUGAUCAUGUACACCAAAAGUUUAUAUGAAUUGGACAUUUCUAACUAUCCAAUUUAUAAAAUAUUUACUUAUCGUUUGAUAAUAUCUUAAAAAAACAGAUAGAAUCAUUUUCCUAUCAUAAAUAUCUUUGAACAAAUUAAUAUUGUGAGGAAUGACAGAAUGAUGCAUGUCUUUGAAUGAAGAAAAAGCACAAUAGGCUUUCCGCAGGACAUUAUUUUGAUUCACUAACUCACUUUACUUUUAUAAUGUGCAAGUUUCAAAACUUUCAAAUUCCAAAGCACCAAAAUGAGAGUAUCCAAGACCAAAGGUCCUUCGGUCAUCAUAUACCCUUUGCUAUUGCACCUUCAAGAUAAUGUUUUCCUAAAGACCAAUGAUAUUUCCUUUUAAGUUAUAUAUACGUACCUCACAAAAUUGCAAUGGUGAACACUAUAUUGGUAUGGAACCAACUUUCCAAAACAGAAAAAGGAGAACCAUGAAGCUCUACGCAUGAUCCUUUUUCCCUUGCUUAUAUCACAAAGUUUCACUGCAUAAACACACUCACUCAUCACAAUACUGCCAAGAAGAUAAAAACAUGCAAACACAAGUAUGCAUGCAAUGCGAAUAAUUCAUAAAUGACUCAACCUCUAUACUUCUGGUUUAAGAAUUUACAAACCAAACUUAAGAAAUGUUUUAAGAAAACUUACAAAAUGAACUCAAGGCAGAGGUUGAUCAUCAAAGUUCCGAGCAUAGUGAGGGUGAACCUGACUUGUGCUUGUUGAGGUGUCACCCUGUUGUCGCUCCAUCAUCAUGGUUAAUUUUUGCUCCAUGAACUUUAUUCUAUCCUCCAACAUUGCACACUUUUGAUUUGCUUGAGUAGCUAUUUGAGUUACUUGAUCGGCUCUUUGAGUUGCUUGAUCGGCUCUUUCAUUUGCUUGCAUCACUUGUUGAUGAAGUUGUUCAUUAUGAGAAAAGUAAUCACUGGAAGGAGCAAGUAUUGAAGGUUGGGUUAGGGAAGACACUCCAUGGCGAACGUUGGAAGCCAAGUCUGCAGUCCCAUAACAUCGACCUCUACUCUUGCCUCCAGCAACAUCCUUCCAGCAUUGAAGUUUUGUUGUUGGAUUGAUUGGUUGGCAGUUGGAAGUUGAUCCUUCAAAGUUGUCUGAUUGGAGGGCUUUCAAUCGCUCAUGGUAGGUUUCCUAGUUCAUUGUGAAAAUUGUAAGUCUGUUUGGCACGACUAAGUUAGGAAUAUAAAUCAUGUAUACAAAAGUAGAGCAAUAACUUACGUAAGUCUGUUUGGCACGACUAUCCACCCAAAGUCCAUCCUUCUUAGUGUGUGUGGCCAUGAAUAAUUCAUCGGGUUCAACAGGCCGACCAAAUUUCCGUUCCUGAAAUAAAUGGAAAAGUUACCAACAUUAGAUAUUAUCUACUAAAUUUAAGCUUAUGCAAAGAAAUAUAGAUACUUACUAGGCUUAAUGCAAUGUCGAGGUGUGAUUUACGACCAGUAGAGUGCAAUGCCCCACCUCGAGUUGAUGACCUAUUCAAUUUAUUUUGGAUUGAUUGUUCUUUGAACUUUUUCGAAUCCCAAUAGUCCAAGAGACCAAUCCAUGCUUGUUCACUAAUCCAGUUAGGUCUAGUUGCUUUCAUCCUAGCUUUACCAAGCAUAUCAGAAAGGCGUUUUCUCACCUUUGACUCGUACACUUUUCUAAUUUGCCACUCAUCAUGAGGGGCCCAAGUCACUCGAGUCUGUAAAAAGAACAACAAAUUUAAAUAAAAGUUAAUGAACAUGCUUAAAUGGAAAUGAGUGAAAAUGCUAUGUUAAGAUCACUUUAAAUUCAGUCCACCAUUUAAGUUGGACUUCCUCUGGUGUUUCGUCAUAGUGAUAGUAAGGACCCCUAAAUUGUGACCUAAUUGCAUGUCCAAUUGCCUUAGUAGCACAAUGAUUAGGUGUCCAUCUACAAAACAUGCAAACCAAAAUGUUAAACAUGAAGUAUAACAAACAAUUCACAAUAAAGUUCAAUGCGAUAAUAAACUUACCCUUUACCCACUGGUCGAAUGAUGACCCUCCCACUACCAUCAUGUUCUUCAUCAGGGAUAUCAUGAUGUGUCAUGGGUUGUACUGGCGUAUCAGGGGAGGGUUGCACUGAUGCCUGAGUGGGCUGAACUGAUGUAUGAGUGGGUUGCACUGAUGCCUGAGUGGGAUGAACUGAUGUAAGAGUGGGUUGCACUAGAAUUUGAGGAGUCACAUGAACAGAUGGAGCACUAGAGAAGUGAACUAAUGAGGGAGUAGAUGUGGACUGUAAUGGGGGACUCCAAGUGGGAAAAAGUGUCGGAGUAGACAAAUAUUGGACUGCUGGAGCCACGGGCGACAAGACUGGUAUAAUACGGGAGGUAGAAGGAGGAACAUUGUCUUGCCGUAGUGCAGAACGAAAGGAUGAGGAGGGGGUUGAGGAAGAAGGGGUCGAAGGGGUCAAAGAAGAAGAAGGGGUGGAGGAAGAAGGCGUGAAGGAUUGAAGAAAACGGGAUGAGCCAGAAUAAGGGAUGGACCCUAGUUCUAUUGCAAGACGACUAUGCAUAAAUGUGUGAACUCCACGCCUAGCAUUGUUAUGUCCGAUAACAGAACCAUCCCUUCCUCUAGUCCUAGGCAUUUCUCCUGGAAAAAAAAUGGCAUCAUCAAUUAAGUUGGGUACAUUUUCAUAUUAGUUGUCAAAUAAAAAAAAAUAUUAUACAUUAGUCAUCAGUGUUUUCAAAGUCCCAAUUGUCCAUGUCAUUAUCAUCGUGUUCUUCAUCAUCUUGACUUGAUUCAUUGACCUCAUCUUCAUCAUCAUCAUCGCAUACUGUUUCAAUAACAUCAUCAUUGACAAGUUCAACAAUUAAUGUUUCAGCUAAGCCUUCUACUUCCUCAAUUCUUGUAAUUGGUAACACGUUAGGCAUUUCAUCAAACUGAUAAGGUAAAUAAUCUUGUAUGUUAUCAACUUCAACAUGACCUCGAGGUUUUGUUGUGAUUGCCACGUUCCAACCACGCAAGUUCCUACAUAUCUUUGGAUAAGGCACAUAGUAAACUUGUCUUACUUUUUGUGGAAGAAUGAAGGGAUCAUAUGGAAUAUAUCUUCCACUCAUCUUGAUUUCUACAACGUUAUAUUCUGAAUGAACUUUGGUGCCUCUAUUAUUGGUUGGAUCAAACCAAUCACAAAAGAAAAGAGGAAUCUUCUUACUCAAACCAAGAUAUUCUAAUUCAUAAAUAUGUUUGAUGACGCCAAAAAAGUCAUCUUGUCCUCCUUCUGUUACACCUUUUACAUGCACCCCACAAUUUGUGGUUUUCUUCCCUUCACUCCAUGACUUUGUAUGAAACUUGUAUCCAUUAACGAAGUACAUGUUCCACGAUGUUGUAGAUGAAUUAGGUCCCCAAGCUAAUGCUUUCAUGUUUGGGUCAAUCACCCUAUUCCUCUCAUCAUAAACCUAUGAAAUAGUUACAUAAUUGUUAAAUUAAGUAACACUUACUUAGUUGUUAAAUUAAAUAAUACUUACAUAGUUUUUAAACCAUUCUGGAAAAUGUCUAUGUAUAUUCAUUGAACCCUCUUCGUUGUUGUUAACUUGUAAGAACAAUCUUGAAAUAAAUAAGUAAUCAGUCAUAAACUGCACUUUAAACAUAAUCAAUACAAAUUGUGUUGUUAUUAACUUACUCAAGUAUUGGUUUAACUUCAUUGCAAUUGAUGAGAAUAUGUACAUGGGCAGAACGAUAUUCAUCAUCAUUUAGCCAAUAUUCUUUGCAUGAUCCACUAGGACGACCACAUUUGUUGAGAACGGACAAUGUUGAUUCAACUCCCUUAUUUGAACUAGUCCGAGGAUCAUUUCUCAAACUUGUAUUUGACAACAAGCUUACAUGUUGGAAAUAAUGAGAAUAAAAAUAAGUUAUUUCACGGUGUAAGUAGAAUGCACAUAUUGAACCUUCUACCCUUGCUAAAUUAGCCACUGAUCGCUUUGCAUCUCUCAUCAACCUACACCACAUGUCAAGUUUUAAGUAUUGAACAAUAAUUAUGAACAAUAAAACUGAGGAUUAGAUUAUUACCUUUCAAAUNNNNNNNNNNNNNNNNNNNNNNNNNNNNNNNNNNNNNNNNNNNNNNNNNNNNNNNNNNNNNNNNNNNNNNNNNNNNNNNNNNNNNNNNNNNNNNNNNNNNNNNNNNNNNNNNNNNNNNNNNNNNNNGAUAUAUUCGCUUUCAUUCGAAUUAAAUCAUCCAUCCUCAAAGAGUUACAACAUAAAUCUCUGAAAAACUGAAUUAUUUCAGCUAUCGCAUUCCAAACAAAUUCUGGUAAUGAACGAAAUGCAAUUGGUAGUAAACACUCCAUGAAGACAUGACAAUCAUGACUUUUCAUACUAUGCAUACUCCCUUUAUCAAUGUUUGCACACCUGGCAAUGUUAGAGGCAUAUCCAUCAGGCAUUUUUAACUCUAUAAUCCAUCUAUAAAUUGAUUUUGCAUCUUUUUUUGUGAAAGUGUAGUUUGCCUUUGGCUUUCCUAACUUCCCAUUUCGUAACUGAACCAAUUCCAAGUCACCGCGUCCACAAAAUUCAGCAACAUCCAUUCUUACCUUGUGAUUGUCCUUUGUUUUAUCCUUGACAUCCAUCACAGUAUUGAAGACAUUAUCAAAAAAAAAAAUUUCAAUGUGCAUGACAUCAAGAUUGUGUCUUAGCAAAUUGUGUUUCCAAUAUGGCAGAUCCUAAAAGAUUGAUCUUUUUGUCCAAUUAUGAUAUUGUCCAUACCCUAAUAAGGUAUCAAAUGGACCAUCAGUCACCUUUGGAAAGUCUCGAAUAAAUUCCCACAAUUGCUCUCCAUUUAGGAAAUUAGGAGGCCCAUCCGACUCAGUCCUGUUUUUCGUAAAUCUCCUUUUGCUUCUCCUAAAUGGAUGAUCAGUAGGCAAGAAUCGACGAUGACAGUCAAACCAACUACUUUUACCACCAUGUGGUAAUGUAAAAGCUUUCGUGUCCUCCAUACAAUGAGGACAUGCUAAUUUCCCUUUAGUCCCCCAUCCUGACAACAUGCCAUAAGCUGAAAAAUCAUUGAUUGUCCACAUCAAGCAAGCUCGCAUGACAAAGUUUUCUCUUGUAGAGAUGUCAUAUGUCAUUACACCUUCAUUCCACAAUUGGUUAAGAUCAUCAAUAAGUGGUUGCAAGUAGACAUCUAUUUUCUUAGUUGAGUUACUUGGGCCAGGUAUGAGACAAGUUAGAAACAUAUAUGGUUUGGUCAUACACACUUCAGGGGGCAAAUUAUAAGGAGUAAGAAAUACAGGCCAACAAGAAUAUGGGGAUGUUGAAGCUUGGACAUAAGGAGUGAACCCAUCAGAACAUAAACCAAGUCUCACAUGUCGUGGGUCAACAACAACAUUUGGAUAUAUCUUAUCAAAGUGCUUCCAAGCUUCCCCAUCACAUGGAUGUCGCAGUAUGCCAUCUUCUCUUUUGUUUUCAAAAUGCCAUCUCAUUUGCUUAGCAGAUUCUACUGAUGCAUACAGUCUUUGUAAUCUUGGGAUGAUUGGCAAAUAAAACAUUCUCUUCUUUGGAAUUUGUUUGUAUCUUCCCUUGUCACCUUUAGGAGGAAAAUACCGAGGAAGAUGACAAAAUUUACAUUCAGUUAAAUGGUUGUCAUCCUUGUAAUAUAACAUGCAUCCAGCUUCACAACAAUCAAGUUUUUGGGCUUUCAAUCCAAGACUUGACACAAUUUUUUUAGCUUCGUAGUAGUUCUUUGGUAUGCAAUUAUCUUUAGGAGCUACAUCAACUAACAAUUUUAUGAAAUGGUCUAAACAUUUUUCAGGUGUAUGCCAAUUCGUUCUAGCUGCUAGUAGUCUGAUGGCUACUGAUCAUUUUGCCUCGGUAGCACCAUCAUAAAUGGGUUCAUUUGCAGCUGCUAACAUAUCAUAAAACCUUUGGGCUUCUGCAUUAGGUGACUCUACUACAUAUUCAUCGUCGUUGUCCAUGUGAUCAUAAUGAUUUGUUAUGUCUGCUUCUUGCAUGUAUGCAUCAUACACCAUAUUAAUCAUUAAACCAAUGUUAUCAACUGGUUUCGUUCUUCCAUGGCUACUGGAUGCAUAACCAACAUUGUCCUCACUUGACAUCUCUUCUCCAUGUUGAACCCAAACUGUGUAGUUAGGUUUAAAACCAUAUCGUAGCAAAUGAGCCCUCACAUGUGAUGGUGGAAGAAUUUUCUCACAGACACACUUUAUGCAAGGACACCUUAUCCCUCCUUCUAUAGUAUAAAAAGUUUGAUCCAUUGCCUUCGAAACAAACUCACUUACUCCAGUAAUGAAUUGUUUGCUAAGUCUCCUUGAAGGAUCAAGUCGUUCAUACAUCCAUCUUCGAUCCAUUUUUCUGCAUAGAAUAUAUGUAUAUAGUAGUGAUGAAAUUAUUAGACAAUAUAACACCGCUCUAUGAGUAGUGAUAUAUAAGAAUUAUCAAACAAAACUAUCAUACCAUAUCACAAUGGUGUGAAAUCAGUUUUGACUUGUAAAGUGAUUUUCAACUCAAAAUAUUGGUAAUAAAUUGGUUGUAAACCAAUUUUUUUUGUUUAAUUGGACGGUCUUGUGAAGCCACAAGAUUUGUCAACAAAAAAACCUAAAUACUUAUCUCAACAGAAAAACUACAAGAUAUAUAAAACCUAAAUACUUAUCUCAGCAGAAAAACUACAAAAUUGACCUGAAGAGCUUACCACUGGAGGAAUCUUAUAAGUGAUUUUUGAAGGAGUUGAAGUCUUUAUGUGUUUAAGAGAGUCACGAGCUAACCUGUAAGCAUAAACAAUAUAUAUAAAAUUCAUUUUGCAUAAACAAUUGUCUUGGGCAUUAUGAAGAAACAAAAAUAAAAAUAUAUUUAUUUUAAUGAAAACAUAAAAUAACGUUUAACACAAAUUAUUAAAACAAUUAAAAGUAUUUAAUAUAUUAAAUAUUUCUUAUUUAGUAAUGUGUUUAAAAUAUUCAUUAACAAAUAACCUUCAAAUAAUUAAAAUAUUUAUUAAAAUAUAUUGAAUGCGCUUAUGAUCAUGAGAAAAUAUAUUAAAUAUUCUGUAACUAGUAUUUUUCUAGACAUUUCUUAAUACGUUUGUUACUUUUUAGAAUAAGAAUAAAUAAAAUAAAGUGCUUUUUGUUUUUGAAAUUUCUUUUUGUGUGGAUUCUGUCCUUGACUUCAAGUCAAGAACUAAAGAUUGAGUCUGUGAUCACAUACUUAAAUAGAAGAAGUUGGAAGAUAUGAAUGAACUAUUUUAUUUAAAUAAACUUAACUUUGACAAGGAAGCUUUCUGCACACCAAACUUUUCUUAUUGAAAGGAAAGUGAUCACAUACUUAAAUAGAAGAAGUUGGAAGAUAUGAAUGAACUAUUUUAUUUAAAUAAACUUANNNNNNNNNNNNNNNNNNNNNNNNNNNNNNNNNNNNNNNNNNNNNNNNNNNNNNNNNNNNNNNNNNNNNNNNNNNNNNNNNNNNNNNNNNNNNNNNNNNNCAAGGAAGCUUUCUGCACACCAAACUUUUCUUAUUGAAAGGAAAGUGAGCAAAGACUGGGAGUUGUUGGAAAAUUCAUUUCACUUUGUUAAUUUGAAUGAUGAUUAAGCAAAAAGUUUAUGUUGGAAGUCCUAAAGAUGUGGCAUAUAUGCAAUGGAGGUAACACUCACAAGUACCCUAGCUUUCUGAACACACACAGUAUGUUACCAUUGUGAGACAACAUUCACAAUCAGUAUAACCUUCCCAGUGAAAUCAUUCAGACUCACAUCAUUUCCACGGAUGUCCUGUAAAUAUAGUUCACAGCAUAAACAAAUAUAAAUUAUCAAAGAAAAACUUCUUCCAAGCAGUUAAAUACUAACCACAGAUUAGCAAUAACAACAAAAUCAACAAUAUAACCAGACUUGUCCCAACAUAACCUCAUACUGUCAUGUCUUAUCUAGUACUCUUCCUAUAGAAAAUUUAAAAGAAAAAACAAAUAUAUAUACUAUUCGUUGUCAAAAGAAAUAGAUUGGCUUACCUCAAUUUUGUUUUUAUCCUUGCAUAAUUCUAUUUCUGACUUGUUGACAUUCUUUAUGCUUUGCUCGGUCUUUGAUUUUAAAUAAGCUUCCACUACUCCAACAGGUUUUGUCACCUUGAAAAAACAACAUGGAAAUGAAAAACUAAGCAACUAUUAGACAUAACAAAUCUCCUAAUACCUGUCUUAGGGUGCAUAAUAGAACUUCAGAAGGCAUAUUAGUAGGUAUAUACACAAUAUUUGUUUCAAAGUUCAAACAGAGCUUUCCCAAUUCAUCAAGGAUAACCAUUAUUGAAGUGGACAUACUGGUUUUUUUGCUAACACUGCUUCUGCACUAUAGCUUAGUUAGUAAACCAUUGAUGUUUGUAUUGUAAUCAACAAGUUAAUAACAAUAACUUUGAAAUUAAUAACAAUAUUAAUAACAAUAACUUCUAAAUUAAUGGUAAAAAAUACACAAAACAACAAGUUAGAUGCUAUUAGAAAUUUGAAAAAGAAAACUCUAGUUUUGUCACUAUUACAAAAUACCUUAGGUUCUUGAGCACUAAAGAGCAGAUAAAAGGCUCACAAAAUGAAAACUACAGAACAAUGCAGUUGUACUUUCUGUUCCUUUUUUUUUCUACUCUUUCUUCUAUUUUAUUUUCCAUCAUGAAGAAUACACUUUUGGAGAAGCCAAGGUUCUUUUAUUUUUUGGAAGUGACCGAGGAAAGUGACCAUGAAGAUGAUUUCUAUGUUGAGUCUGGUGUUGGAAGUGGGUUUGGUGAAGGAUACAGUGGAGAGCAGGGUUAUGAGAAUGAGAAGCAAGUGGAUAUGGGUUGGAAGCUGUGGACAUUUGUGAAACCUAGCCUAAUCUUAUUCAACUUCAAACACAGGAUGCAACAUCAAACACAGAAUAAAAUUCAGCACUAACCUUCUAUCACCAGGUUGGUUUCCUCUGAUGUCAGGUAUCACAAGCGUUGCCCCCAGACUUCUAGCAACAAUCAUCGGAUAUUAUCAGCAAACACAAUCUGAAAUCGAGAAGUUAGGGUUACUGCGAAAGAUUAAGAAAGGAGAAGGGAAACUCACUGUGAGUACAAUCGCUC
rnacentral:lncRNA from 1 species